GAUGAACGCUGGCGGCGUGCCUAAUACAUGCAAGUCGAGCGAACGGACGAGAAGCUUGCUUCUCUGAUGUUAGCGGCGGACGGGUGAGUAACACGUGGAUAACCUACCUAUAAGACUGGGAUAACUUCGGGAAACCGGAGCUAAUACCGGAUAAUAUUUUGAACCGCAUGGUUCAAAAGUGAAAGGCGGUCUUGCUGUCACUUAUAGAUGGAUCCGCGCUGCAUUAGCUAGUUGGUAAGGUAACGGCUUACCAAGGCAACGAUGCAUAGCCGACCUGAGAGGGUGAUCGGCCACACUGGAACUGAGACACGGUCCAGACUCCUACGGGAGGCAGCAGUAGGGAAUCUUCCGCAAUGGGCGAAGGCCUGACGGAGCAACGCCGCGUGAGUGAUGAAGGUCUUCGGAUCGUAAAACUCUGUUAUUAGGGAAGAACAUAUGUGUAAGUAACUGUGCACAUCUUGACGGUACCUAAUCAGAAAGCCACGGCUAACUACGUG
rnacentral:rRNA from 1 species